GAGCACACCCCCACGACUUUAUUAUUCCCACCUUGGCUUCACACCCAGCCCAGACCCACCAUAAUGUCAUUAAAAAGGGAAUAAAAAGUGAAUCGACCUGACUGCAACUUCAAGUGAACAAAAAUUGACUAAAAAUAAAAAGUGAACUAAACUGAAGAAAUUCAACGAAAAGUGAAAACAAGCAAUUGUAAAUUAUGAAAAAGUGAAUAAAAAUGAAUGACACUGAGAAAAAAAUUCAUGGGUGUUGGGGCACUUACGGGCCACGGGGCAUAGCGGGGUCCCUGUCGGGUGCCAUGUAUACAGAUUCUGCUGCUACUGCUGCUGCUGUUCUUGCAAUGCCAGUAGUCAAUAAAAGCUGUGGGGCGUGAGCUGUGGGUCUAUAGGAUGCUACGGGGCAGUGGAGGAUGUCUAUGGGGUGAUAUGGGUUGCCAUGGGGCAGUGUGUGGGUCACUCUGGGGCCUCUGUGGGUAGUUAUGGGGAUCUAUGGGUCACUAUGGGGUCUAUAUGGGCUGCUAUGGAGGGUCCAUGAGUUGCUGUUGGGUGUCUAUGGGUCACCGUACGGCUCUAUGCGAUGUCUAUAGGGUGUAUAGGGCUCUAUGGAGCAUCCAGGAGUUUCUCUGGGUCGCUACGGGGCAUCUGGGCGGAAAAAAAAAAAAAUGACUAAAAAUGACGCUAAAGCAAAUAAAUCUGGGGAAAAAAAAACCAAAACCCCAGCAAAUAAGGCUGAAUAAAACUUCCUAAAGUCAACAAAAAGCAAAUAAAAGUGAAUAAAGUGAUUAUAAGUUAUUACAAAGUAAAUAAGGAGGAAUAAAAGUGAACAAGCCUGAAUGAAUCUCGAAUAAAAGUGAAUGAAAGUUCAUAAAAAUGAAUGAAAGCAAAUAAAAAACCGAUUGGUGUGGGGGUACUCAUGAGGGGCGGGCGGAGUGGGGGCCCUAUGGGGCUCCAUGGUGGUUGACGAUGCUGCUGCUGCUGAUGUCAUCCCAGUCCUGGUGAAGCCACGACACCAUAAGUCAUGAGAGUUGCCAUGGGGCCGUGUGUGGGUCUAUAGGGUAUCUAGCAGGUGCUGUGGGUCUCUAUGGGUGGCUGUGGCUCACUACAGGGGGUCCAGGGCUCGCUAUAGGGUGUCUAUGGGGUAUCUAUACGUCACAAUUGGUCAUUAUGGGGAUUUAUGGAUCUCUAUGGGGCAUCUGUGAGUCACUUUGGAGUAUCCAUGGGUUGCUGUGGGGUGUCUAUGGGUCGCUCUGGGACCCUAUGGGAAGUCUAUAGGGAGUCUAUGAGGCUGGGGGUCCUAUAAAGGAUCUAAGGGGCGUCUAUGGGAUGUCCAGGGGUUGCUAAGGGUCACUAUGGGGAAUCUAAAAAAGAAAAUGUUACUAAAAGUGGCUAAAUCAAAUCGGAAGAAGACUGAAUGAAAACUGAAUGAAAAGUCAAUAAAAUGUCAAUAAAGUGAUUAAAAAGCGAAGAAAAAUGAAUAAAAGUGAAUAAACCUGAAUGAAACUCAAAGAAAAGUGAAUAAAAAUGAAAGCGAAUAAAAGAGUCAAACCCCAAAUUAUGUUGGGGGGGGGGUAGUGGGGACCCUAUGGGGUACUUGGGGUUCCCUAUAGGGCUCGUUGUGGUGGGUGGGCCACCUGUCCCCCGGGGAGUACCUGCUGCUGGGCACGGAGCCCCGGGAAUACCAGGAAUGCCACUGGGAUCAGCACCGGGAGCUGCUGCCCCAGGUGCUGCUGCACCCUUUGGACCCCCCUAGCACUGUGGGGCGGCUGUUCCUGGGGCUGCACCCCAGGGUGCUACUGGCCAGCACCCACCGAGGGAUCUUCCUACACCUCCGGGAUGGAUCCGGGAUGAUGCGAGUGACAACAGGAAUGCUGGAGGUUCACUGCUGGGCUGCACACACCAUGGGGCUGCCGCUGCGGCGCGGGGAGCUGGUGCACGUCUUCGAUGCGCAGAGGUUUCGGCAGGAUGAGGGUUUAUCCUGAUCCGUGGGCUCUUCCUCAUCAUCCUCCUCACCACCUCCAUCCCCACAGAGGUGCAGCAGCACCGGGAAGGGCUGGCCCCGCGGCCCUGGCACCGGGUGACGCUGGUGCUGAGGCAGGAGCUGGGGCCACACGAUGGAGCCCACAAAGCAGCCUGCUUUCCUCCCCUGUCACCGCCGUCUUUCCGCCCACCAAAGCCGGAACAAGCCUUCGCCCAGCAGCUCCUGGACGGCCCCGCGCCGAGCUGAGCUGAGCUGAGCCGAGCCCCGCUAAGCUUCACAGCCGCGCAUCUGUCGAAGAUAAAGCCGCGCUUCAGCCGCCGCCGCUGCCGCCACCUUCUCCUUCUUCCUCCCCGGCCGCCGCCAUCGCCCCCUCACACCGAGGGGCACCGCUGAUUGGCCGCCGGUCGCUAGGCGGGAAGGCGUCCCCUCAGCUGCGCGCUGUAGCUAAGGGAGAGGCGGCCAGGGAUUGAAGGACGCUGCUGUCCCACC
ensembl:lncRNA